rnacentral:lncRNA from 1 species
GUUUUGGAGGAGAAUAUUUCAAAGAUGAUCGGUCUCAAGGGCAAGCGAGGAUUAGGGGGAGUGUUAGGAUUUAAACUAAUUAUGUUAAUUAGGGAAUAAUCCUCCCUUGUACAGAAACGCUUCGUGCGGUUCCUAGCCAACCAACGCGGCGGUUUUCCCACGACCCCCACGAGCGGACGCAUCCGUUCGUGGCGACGGUUCCAUGUGUAUUUAAUCUUCACAUAUCAUCAAUGAAAGAGACAGUUCAUUCUAAACAC